UGGGCUGUAGCUCAGAGGUAGAGCACGUGCUUAGCAUGCAUGAGGCCCUAGGUUUGAUUCCCAGCACCAA
rnacentral:tRNA from 2 species